rnacentral:rRNA from 1 species
ACGGCCGCGGUACCCUAACCGUGCGAAGGUAGCAUAAUCACUUGUUCUUUAAAUGAGGACUCGUAUCAACGGCAUCACGAGGAUCCUACUGUCUCCCCCCUCUAAUCAGUGAAACUGAUCUCUCCGUGAAGAAGCGGAGAUGUACAUAUAAGACGAGAAGACCCCAUGGAGCUUUAAACCCAACAACACCCGCCCCCCUCCAAAUCCUAUUAUUUACCCGGUGAUUGUUUGUUUGGUUUUAGGUUGGGGUGACCGCGGAGUAUAAGAUAUCCUCCAUGAAAAAAAGCUAACUGCCCUUAUUAGAGAAAGACACUUCCAAAAAAUAAUAAAUUAAUUUUAAAUGAUCCGACAUUCGAUCAACGAACCAAGUUACCCUGGGGAUAACAGCGCAAUCCGUCCCGAGAGCCCCUAUCGACAGGCGGGUUUACGACCUCGAUGUUGGAUCAGGGUAUCCCAGUGGUGCAGCAGCUACUAAAGGUUCGUUUGUUCAACGAUUAA